rnacentral:misc_RNA from 1 species
GAUGAAGAACGUAGCGAAAUGCGAUAAGUAAUGUGAAUUGCAGAAUUCAGUGAAUCAUCGAAUCUUUGAACACACCUUGCGCCCUUUGGCUAUUCCGAAGGGCAUGCCUGUUUGAGUAUCGUGAACACCUCAACUCUCAUGGUUUGCCAUGAUGAGCUUGGACUUUGGGGGUUUUGCUGGCCUUUGGUCGGCUCCUCUCAAACGGAUCAGCUUUCCAGUGUUUGGUGGCGUCACGGGUGUGAUAACUAUCUACGCCUGUGGUUUUCUGCCAGAUAACCUUCAGCGAUGGAGGUUCGCUGGGGCUCAUAAAUGUCUCUCUUCAGUGGAGACAGCUUUUUGGACGUUUGAUCUCAAAUCAGGUAGGACUACCCGCUGAACUUAAGCAUAUCAAUAAGCGGAGGA